UACGAAGGGUGCAAGCGUUAAUCGGAAUUACUGGGCGUAAAGCGUGCGCAGGCGGUGAUGUAAGACAGUUGUGAAAUCCCCGGGCUCAACCUGGGAACUGCAUCUGUGACUGCAUCGCUGGAGUACGGCAGAGGGGGAUGGAAUUCCGCGUGUAGCAGUGAAAUGCGUAGAUAUGCGGAGGAACACCGAUGGCGAAGGCAAUCCCCUGGGCCUGUACUGACGCCCAUGCACGAAAGCGUGGGGAGCAAACAGG
rnacentral:rRNA from 1 species